CGCGUAGGCGGCUUUGCAAGUCAGAUGUGAAAGCCCCGGGCUUAACUCGGGAAUUGCAUCUGAAACUGCUUAGCUUGAGUCCUGGAUGGGGUAGUGGAAUUCCCAGUGUAGCGGUGAAAUGCGUAGAUAUUGGGAGGAACACCUGCGGCGAAGGCGGCUACCUGGACAGUGACUGACGCUGAGGCGCGAAAGCUAGGGGAGCGAACG
rnacentral:rRNA from 1 species